UACGUAGGGGGCAAGCGUUGUCCGGAAUUACUGGGCGUAAAGGGCUCGUAGGCGGCCAACUAAGUCCGACGUGAAAUCCCCAGGCUUAACCUGGGAACUGCGUCGGAUACUGGAUGGCUUGAAUCCGGGAGAGGGAUGCGGAAUUCCAGGUGUAGCGGUGAAAUGCGUAGAUAUCUGGAGGAACACCGGUGGCGAAGGCGGCAUCCUGGACCGGCAUUGACGCUGAGGAGCGAAAGCCAGGGGAGCAAAACGGG
rnacentral:rRNA from 1 species